rnacentral:tRNA from 1 species
CUCUCCGUAGUUCAAUGGAUAGAACGAGUGCCUCCUAAGCGCUAGAUACAGGUUCGAUUCCUGUCGGGGAGGCCA